rnacentral:rRNA from 1 species
CUGAACCAGCCAAGUAGCGUGAAGGAUGACUGCCCUAUGGGUUGUAAACUUCUUUUAUACGGGAAUAAAGUGAGGCACGUGUGCCUUUUUGUAUGUACCGUAUGAGUAAGGAUCGGCUAACUCCGUGCCAGCAGCCGCGGUAAUACGGAGGAUCCGAGCGUUAUCCGGAUUUAUUGGGUUUAAAGGGAGCGUAGGCGGACGCUUAAGUCAGUUGUGAAAGUUUGCGG